rnacentral:lncRNA from 10 species
UUCUUGUUAUUUGAGUGCUCUUUCACUCUCCUCCGCCAUGCCCGACCCGGCUAUACCCUUGGGGAAAAAGGCUUGCAGUUGUGCUUUAAGCUAUAAUUACAAGUUUGCUUUCGGUUUUCGGUUACUCUUUCCUUUUGUGUUGUUUUUUUUUUUUUUUUUUAAAUGGAGUCUUGGCUCUGUCGCCCAGGAUAGAGUGCAGUGCCGCGAUCUCGAAAUUCUCAUCAGAUGGGUUUUAUUUAACCCUAUAUAUCAUGACUUACUUUCCAACCUGACUCUGGCAUAAAACAUUAUGAGACAAGGAAGAAAAUCAAAAUAUUUUACACCAAAAAACAUGUUUCUUUGCCAUAUUUUGAAAUGGCCCUGCAAAAUUGUUUUUUUGUGUGUGGGAAAAUUUGUGUCUGUAAAGAAUCUCUAUUAACAUAGCUAGAUCUUUUUCUUCCAGACCCUCCCAAUCCUAAAGAGAUUAACUAAGAUCUGAGUAGGAAACAUUUGUUAUCAUCUAUUGUCUCUAAGGGCAGCCACUGUUAAGACUUCAAAAGAACUUGGUCUCAGGUUCUUAACCUGAACACUCCCUUUCUAUCAAUCCCAGGUCUUUAGACAAAUUCAACCAAUUGUCAACCAGAAAACGUUUAAAUUCACCUGUAGCGUGGAAGCACCCCACCCUGACCCCCCACCCAAUACUCCUGCCCCGCCUCGGCGUCCUGCCUUUCUGGACCAAACCAAUGUAUUUCUUAAAUGUAUUUGAUUGAUGUCUCCUGCCUCCCUAAAAUGUAUAAAACCAAGCUGCGCCCCGACCACCUUGGGCACGUGUUCUUAGGACCUCCUGAGGGGUGUGUCACAGGUCAUGGUCAUAUUUGGCUCAGAAUAAAUCUCUUCAAAUAUUUUACAGGGUUUGACUCUUUUCAUCGACAAGAUCAAUAACAAAGGUAACACCAGUUCAAGGUUAGACAGACAGUUACUGGAUGGAUGUCCUUAUAAAAAUAUUUUUGUGUAAAUUUGCAAGGGCCUUUAUACAAGGUUGAGGUUUUUACAAUGUUUUGUGAUAGUUUUUAUGAUCAGACAUACAAAUAUAAAAACCCACUCCUCAUGGCCUUCCUGGGAUCUAU